rnacentral:lncRNA from 1 species
CAAGCUGAAUGUAGGGUUAAAGUGUGUCCUCCCUCCUCUGUGGGUGUUUGCCUAGCUCCUGGCUGUGGGUUGAAGGGACUGGUAAAUAUGUCUAUUUUACUGCUGAGGCAGGGUGGCUCAGUGCUUGGUCACCUUGGAGGGAUCAUAAGCAAGCCGCCGCUGGGGCCCUGUGCCACGCACAGGAGCUAAUUCUGUGGCUCUGGACUCUUCCCUGGAGGUGGGGAAUGAGGCCGGGGCCGGGAGGAGGUGGUCUUGUGGCGCGACUGCGGGCUGUGCACUCAGGAAAGUGGCCACGGUUUAGGACGACCUCGACACGACCCUGUAUAGGAGGCAACUAACUCCAGAGAAAACGAGCGAGCCCCACGCAACUCUUCAUUCCUGCAGGGAGAACAAGGAGGUGUGCCCGCCAGGGAAGGGACGCACCCCCGCCGGCGCUCGCUGCCUUAACUUCCCCAUCCCCGCGCCAGGGAGGGGCCGGAGUCGCCGCCGAGGCCGCCGAGCGCAGAAAGUGCGCGAAGGGGACGCGCUGCGAGCCUCUCACACGUGACGGCGCCGCGCCGAACCGAGCGGGACCUGGCGG